CCUACGGGAGGCAGCAGUGGGGAAUAUUGCGCAAUGGGCGAAAGCCUGACGCAGCAAUGCCGCGUGAGUGAGGAAGGCCUUCGGGUUGUAAAGCUCUGUCAUAUGGAAAGAAUGGUCAUUGUUCUAACAGGGCAGUGAUUUGACGGUACCAUAAAAGGAAGCACCGGCUAACUUCGUGCCAGCAGCCGCGGUAAU
rnacentral:rRNA from 1 species